UACGUAGGGGGCAAGCGUUGUCCGGAUUCAUUGGGCGUAAAGAGCGUGUAGGCGGCUCGGUAAGUCCGCUGUGAAAGUCGGGGGCUCAACCCUCGAAUGCCGGUGGAUACUGUCGAGCUAGAGUGCGGAAGAGGCGAGUGGAAUUCCUGGUGUAGCGGUGAAAUGCGCAGAUAUCAGGAGGAACACCGAUUGCGAAGGCAGCUCGCUGGGACGUUACUGACGCUGAGACGCGAAAGCGUGGGGAGCAAACAGG
rnacentral:rRNA from 1 species